AGGAAGCUCUCCAACCGGUGGCAUAAGUCCCACCGCGUCCUACUCUGGAUGCUCGUUAAAGAGCUAGGGCGACGACAGCGAGCAAAAAACUGGAGCACGUAAGGGAGCCCAGUAUAAAUUUAUUAUGUCCUUUACAACCUCGUGUAGGCCGUUUGUCGGUGACAUGCCAAGCGAGUAUUAACACCGACUAAGCUUGUAGUAUAUCUGAGCAGAUGGCUCUAAAGACGUGGGUUCGACUCCCACCGCCUCCACCA
rnacentral:tmRNA from 1 species